rnacentral:rRNA from 1 species
AACGAACGCUGGCGGCAGGCUUAACACAUGCAAGUCGAGCGCCCCGCAAGGGGAGCGGCAGACGGGUGAGUAACGCGUGGGAACGUACCUUUUGGUUCGGAACAACUCCGGGAAACUGGAGCUAAUACCGGAUAAGCCCUAACGGGGAAAGAUUUAUCGCCGAAAGAUCGGCCCGCGUCUGAUUAGCUAGUUGGUGAGGUAACGGCUCACCAAGGCGAUGAUCAGUAGCUGGUCUGAGAGGAUGAUCAGCCACACUGGGACUGAGACACGGCCCAGACUCCUACGGGAGGCAGCAGUGGGGAAUAUUGGACAAUGGGCGCAAGCCUGAUCCAGCCAUGCCGCGUGAGUGAUGAAGGCCUUAGGGUUGUAAAGCUCUUUUGUCCGGGAAGAUAAUGACUGUACCGGAAGAAUAAGCCCCGGCUAACUUCGUG